GUAGGGGGUUUGUUAAGUUCCAAGUAAAAUCUUAAGGCUCAACUUUAAGUUCGCUUGGAAAACUAAUAAACUGGAGUCCAGCAGAGGUGCAUGGAACUUGCGGUGUAGGAGUGAAAUCCGUUGAUAUCGCAAGGAACACCAAAGGCGAAGGCAUUGCACUGGGCUGGUACUGACCCUGAGAGACGAAAGCGUGGGGAGCAAAACGGAUUAGAUACCCGUGUAGUCCACGCCGUAAACGAUGGAUACUAGAUGUUCGGGGAUUCGACCCCCUGGGUGUCACAGCUAACGCGUUAAGUAUCCCGCCUGGGAAGUACGGCCGUAAGGCUAAAACUCAAAGGAAUAGACGGGGAUCCGCACAAGCGGUGGAGCGUCUGGUUUAAUUUGAUAGUAAGCAAUGGACCUCACCAAGGUUUGACAUCCUAUGACAACCCUGGAAACAGGGCUUCCUUCGGGCAUAGUGACAGGUGCUGCAUGGUCGUCGUCAGUUCGUGCCGUGAGGUGUUCCGUUAAGUCGGGAAACGAACGAAACCCUCGUCGCAUGUUACAAAUUUCAUGCGAGACUGCCCGGGUCAACCGGGAGGAAGGCGGGGAUGACGUCAGAUCAGCAUGGCCCUUAUACCUUGGGCUACACAGGCGCUACAAUGGCCGGUACAAAGGGUUGCAAAACCGCGAGGUGAAGCUAAUCCCAUAAAGCCGGUCCAAGUUCGGAUUGGAGGCUGCAACUCGCCUCCAUGAAGUGGAAUCGCUA
rnacentral:rRNA from 1 species